UACCAGCACCCCGAGUGGUCGGGACGUUUUAUUGGGCCUAAAGCAUCCGUAGCCGGUUCUACAAGUCUUCCGUUAAAUCCACCUGCUUAACAGAUGGGCUGCGGAAGAUACUAUAGAGCUAGGAGGCGGGAGAGGCAAGCGGUACUCGAUGGGUAGGGGUAAAAAUCCGUUGAUCCAUUGAAGACCACCGGUGGCGAAAGCGGCUCACUGGACCGUCUCUGACGCUGAGGUGCGAAAGCUAGGGUAGCAAACGGGG
rnacentral:rRNA from 1 species